UAUUUUGUCUCAGCCACGAGAGAAAAGUAACCAAGACAGGGGAUAUGAGCCGGGGCAUGUAGGCAGGUUCUUCAAACUGGGACUCCUAGUGCUUCCAGGAAGGAGCGGAGAUUUGCAGGAACAUAGAUGCUCGCCCGUCCAGAGUCACGUCGAACUUCUAACUUCCAGAACCAUGAGAUGACAAGUGUUUGCUGUUGUGAGUCACUAAGUUUGUGGAAACCUGUGGCAGCAGCUUUAGACAUCCAAUAGAGUGGCUGAGGACAGAACUGACAGCACUCUUUCCCUGCUUUCUGUGUCCCGGAUGCCAUGAGUGGAGCAAUUGACCUUCACCACAUCUUUGCAUGGUGAAGAUUCUGCCUUGGAGCCAGCACAUCAUGGACUGAACCCUCUGAUACCACGAACAAAGAUAAACCUCUUCUCCUGCGGGUGUCAGGAAUUGAACUCAUGACCUCAGGCUUGCCAGGCGCAGUGGCCCCACAGCGGAAGCUUCACGACAGGACGCGGAGCGGCAGGUGCUCACCCCGUGGCAGUCAGCACGCGGAGAACACGGACGCCUUGAGAGAAUGAGCGGCCCCAGACAAGAGCGCACCCUUCCUGGCACAGCCCGGGCCCGCUGCCUCCAGCCGGCCCAUCUCCUAGCGGCACCUUGGCCAGGAACUCAUCAGCGUUGAUGAGGUGACUGUCCCAUGUCCCGAUCACCCUUCAAAACCUCCACUCUGAGGACACGUGACAGUGAACUCGUCUGUCAGUUUGAGUUAGAAGCGCCCGGCUACCUUGGCUCUGCACAGUUCUGGGUGUGGAAGACCCACCCCAGGGAGGACUGUUGCCAGGAUGGUAUAAAAGGGGCUGAAGAAGGAAGGCUGCUUCUUUCUUCAGAGGAGCUCCAGCCGGCACCGUCACCUGGGCCUUGGCUCCUGGCCUCCACUGCAGACCCUUCAGCCUGCUGAUGCCAGCUCACGUGGGACACCACAGCGAGCUCCAGGCCUUCGACCGCAUCCUCACAUGAGGAUAAGCGAUUUUAUCCUAUAACGAUUAUCCUCCAUUCCAUCGGUGCGCUGUGUCUAUGCUGGAGCAUUUUUGCACCCUUGAGUCUGUACCAACUUGAUCAUCAUGAGUGAUCUUUAUUUUUGUUUUUGUUGUUUUUUGGUCUUUUUGAGGCAGGGUCUC